rnacentral:lncRNA from 1 species
GAUUCGGGGAGAGAUGAGACGACGACAAAGGACAGGUCGUGAGACCAGAGGAACUCAAGUCCAGUCGGGAGUUGGGAGCGCUCGUCCUGGCCGCGUGGGCCAAAGUAUUUUUGUUGGGUUGUCAAUUGGCAAUGGCUAACGAGCCAACUAACGAGUCUGCCGAGCGCUCGCAAGCUGGAUCGAUAAGAUCGUUAAGGGUAAUGAUCUGAAAGUGGUGUUCGGUUUGGUUUGGUUUGAUAGUUAACGAAUCCAGCCUUUAACGAACCGAGAGUUCAUUAAGAUUGUUGAACUUCGAUCUUUUUUCCAGUCCUACACACGACACACUAACACCAGCCCACCACAUACGCAUCGACGAGAAAUGUUUUUUACAAAAAAAAUUUAAAAUGUUGAUUACAUGACACACACACAAUCAACAAAUGCCUAUGAAACAUACAAACCUCCAACACAAGAUGGAGAGAACAUCCGGUGCUACCGUCCUUUCAGUGCAUAAAAUAUGUGUCUACCUCAGUACAAAGAUUCAAAUCCAAAAUGUAUAAAUAUAUAAAAAAUAAAAAGGACAAAUACAUACAUGAAUAAUAUAUGACAUAUUUGACCAAAAAAAACUGUAGGAGAGGCCCCU